rnacentral:misc_RNA from 1 species
AACGCACAUUGCGCCCCCUGGUAUUCCGGGGGGCAUGCCUGUCCGAGCGUCAUUGCUGCCCUCAAGCACGGCUUGUGUGUUGGGCCCCCGUCCCUCGGGACGGGCCCGAAAGGUAGCGGCGGCACCGCGUCCGGUCCUCGAGCGUAUGGGGCUUCGUCACCCGCUCUGUAGGCCCGGCCGGCGCCUGCCGACACCAUCAAUCUUUUUUUUUCCCAGGUUGACCUCGGAUCAGGUAGGGAUACCCGCUGAACUUAA